rnacentral:rRNA from 1 species
CCUACGGGUGGCUGCAGUGGGGAAUAUUGGACAAUGGGGGGAACCCUGAUCCAGCCAUGCCGCGUGUGUGAAGAAGGCCCUCGGGUGGUAAAGCACUUUCAGUGAGGAAGAACGCCUGGUGGUUAAUACCCAUCAGGAAAGACAUCACUCACAGAAGAAGCACCGGCUAACUCCGUGCCAGCAGCCGCGGUAAUACGGAGGGUGCGAGCGUUAAUCGGAAUUACUGGGCGUAAAGCGCGCGUAGGUGGCUUGAUAAGCCGGUUGUGAAAGCCCCGGGCUCAACCUGGGAACGGCAUCCGGAACUGUCAAGCUAGAGUGCAGGAGAGGAAGGUAGAAUUCCCGGUGUAGCGGUGAAAUGCGUAGAGAUCGGGAGGAAUACCAGUGGCGAAGGCGGCCUUCUGGACUGACACUGACACUGAGGUGCGAAAGCGUGGGUAGCAAACAGGAUUAGAUACCCUGGUAGUC